GUCAGACGCAGUUUCCGGUUCCGUUUGCGGCGACUGAUUUUUAAGGUAAUGCGGUCCGAUAGUCCUGCGAAGGCGUGCGCCAGAGAGGUGGUGGGCCUUCACGCAUCACUAGCUGAGGUGAGCCGCCAACUUGGCGUAUACUGACCAGCCUCGAACCCGCCAUGCACGUGGACAGCCAAGCCGUGUGCUGCUGCCUCACGUGGAGUCUUCCUCUAGAAUGAUCUUUUAGCAUAAAAAUAUCAUUAUUGUGUAUGUAUGAUCUAUGUGCAUACACCUGCCACAGCGUGUGAAUAGAAGUCAGAAGACAACUUUGUGUGGUCAGAUCCCUACUUCCGCCUAUUAUAAAGGAUCCAGUGAUGGAACUCUGGGGUGCAGGAUUCCAGACACCGUACAAAGAUGUUUGCAAGAAAAGCAGAGGUAAAAAUAGCUGCUCCAAAAGUCAGACACCUGUGUGGGUUAAGUCACCCCAGCAUCCGGGAGCUUUUAUUCAUUCUUACAUUGCUGUAAGUAGUUUUAAAUAAAUAAAUAAAUAAAUAAAUAAAUAAAUAAAUAAAGGAA